rnacentral:rRNA from 1 species
UGGGGAAUAUUGCACAAUGGGCGCAAGCCUGAUGCAGCCAUGCCGCGUGUAUGAAGAAGGCCUUCGGGUUGUAAAGUACUUUCAGCGGGGAGGAAGGGAGUAAAGUUAAUACCUUUGCUCAUUGACGUUACCCGCAGAAGAAGCACCGGCUAACUCCGUGCCAGCAGCCGCGGUAAUACGGAGGGUGCAAGCGUUAAUCGGAAUUACUGGGCGUAAAGCGCACGCAGGCGGUUUGUUAAGUCAGAUGUGAAAUCCCCGGGCUCAACCUGGGAACUGCAUCUGAUACUGGCAAGCUUGAGUCUCGUAGAGGGGGGUAGAAGUCCAGGUGUAGCGGUGAAAUGCGUAAAGAUCUGGAGGAAUACCGGUGGCGAAGGCGGCCCCCUGGACGAAGACUGACGCUCAGGUGCGAAAGCGUGGGGAGCAAACAGG